rnacentral:lncRNA from 1 species
CUAAUAGACUGAGAACCAUACGGUCUCGAAUCUGUAUGAGUCCUAAACUUCUCUUCCCAGUUAUCUCCCUCAGCUUUCUUCCUCAGCUGCUCAAAAUCAAAUAAGCCAUGAGAGUUCAACGACACUACACGAAUCUUCCCAGUUAUCUCCCUCAGCUUUCUUCCUCAGCUGCUCAAAAUCAAAUAAGACAUGAGAGUUCAACGACACGACACGACGGCGAUCGCCUGAUUUCUCGCGGACAAAGACCUCAAACGGCUCGUGACGCACCACCGCCUCGUAUCCAUCGGAUACGUAGACUACUGAAGACGGAGUAGCG